GACGAACGCUGGCGGCGUGCUUAACACAUGCAAGUCGAACGGAAAGGCCCCUUUGGGGGUACUCGAGUGGCGAACGGGUGAGUAACACGUGAGUAACCUGCCCUUGACUUCGGGAUAACUUCAGGAAACUGGGGCUAAUACCGGAUAGGAAUCCUUGCUGCAUGGUGGGGGUUGGAAAGCUUCGGCGGUUUUGGAUGGACUCGCGGCUUAUCAGCUUGUUGGUGGGGUAGUGGCUUACCAAGGCUUUGACGGGUAGCCGGCCUGGGAGGGCGACCGGCCACAUUGGGACCGAGGUACGGCCCAAGCUCCGACGGGGGGCAACAGGGGGGAAGAUUGCACGAGGGGCGGAAGGCGGGUGCAGCAACGCCGCGGGCGGGAUGACGGCCUUCGGGGUGUAAACCGGUUUCAGCAGGGGCGAAGCUUGUGGUGACGGUACCUGCAGAAGAAGCACCGGCUAACUACGUG
rnacentral:rRNA from 1 species